rnacentral:rRNA from 1 species
GAUGAACGCUGGCGGCGUGCCUAAUACAUGCAAGUCGAGCGAAGCGGGGGCGGGGGAGUAACACGUGGAGGAACUCCCAUACGACGGGGGUAACUUAGGGAAACCGGUGCCAAACCGGAUACUGAUAGCUGGUUCCAGGCUGCAUUUGCUGGUUGGUAAGGUAACGGCUGACCAGGGCAACGAUGCAUAGCCGACCUGAGAGGGUGAUCGGCCACACUGGAACUGAGACACGGUCCAGACUCCUACGGGAGGCAGCAGUGGGGAAUCUUCCGCAAGGGGCGAAAGCCUGACGGAGCAACGCCGCGUGAGUGAUGAAGGCCUUCGGAUCGUAAAACUCUGUUAUUAGGGAAGCGGUACCUAAUCAGAAAGCCACGGCUAACUACGUGCCAGCAGCCGCGGUAAUUC